ACGCCUGUGGGGGAAGGCUAAAAUGCAAGUCGAACGGUAGCACAGAGAGCUUGCUCUCGGGGUGACGAGUGGCGGGACGGGUGAGUAAUGUCUGGGAAACUGCCUGAUGGAGGGGGAUAACUACUGGAAACGGUAGCUAAUACCGCAUAACGUCGCAAGACCAAAGAGGGGGACCUUCGGGCCUCUUGCCAUCAGAUGUGCCCAGAUGGGAUUAGCUAGUAGGUGGGGUAACGGCUCACCUAGGCGACGAUCCCUAGCUGGUCUGAGAGGAUGACCAGCCACACUGGAACUGAGACACGGUCCAGACUCCUACGGGAGGCAGCAGUGGGGAAUAUUGCACAAUGGGCGCAAGCCUGAUGCAGCCAUGCCGCGUGUAUGAAGAAGGCCUUCGGGUUGUAAAGUACUUUCAGCGGGGAGGAAGGUGUUGUGGUUAAUAACCACAGCAAUUGACGUUACCCGCAGAAGAAGCACCGGCUAACUCCGUGCCAGCAGCCGCGGUAAUACGGAGGGUGCAAGCGUUAAUCGGAAUUACUGGGCGUAAAGCGCACGCAGGCGGUCUGUCAAGUCGGAUGUGAAAUCCCCGGGCUCAACCUGGGAACUGCAUUCGAAACUGGCAGGCUAGAGUCUUGUAGAGGGGGGUAGAAUUCCAGGUGUAGCGGUGAAAUGCGUAGAGAUCUGGAGGAAUACCGGUGGCGAAGGCGGCCCCCUGGACAAAGACUGACGCUCAGGUGCGAAAGCGUGGGGAGCAAACAGGAUUAGAUACCCUGGUAGUCCACGCCGUAAACGAUGUCGACUUGGGAGGUUGUGCCCUUGAGGCGUGGCUUCCGGAGCUAACGCGUUAAGUCGACCGCCUGGGAGUACGGCCGCAAGGUUAAAACUCAAAUGAAUUGACGGGGGCCCGCACAAGCGGUGGAGCAUGUGGUUUAAUUCGAUGCAACGCGAAGAACCUUACCUACUCUUGACAUCCAGAGAACUUUCAGAGAUGGGAUUGGUGCCUUCGGGACUCUGAGACAGUGCUGCAUGGCUGUCGUCAGCUCGUGUUGUGAAAUGUUGGGUUAAGUCCCGCAACGGAGCGCAACCUUAUCU
rnacentral:rRNA from 1 species